rnacentral:tRNA from 1 species
AGUUUAAUAGUUUAUUUAAAACCCUGGUCUUGUAAACCAGAGAAAGCAAAGCUUUAAACUAAGCUAAAACUU